rnacentral:rRNA from 1 species
GACGAACGCUGGCGGCGCGCCUAACACAUGCAAGUCGAACGAGCGAGAGAGAGCUUGCUUUCUCGAGCGAGUGGCGAACGGGUGAGUAACGCGUGAGGAACCUGCCUCAAAGAGGGGGACAACAGUUGGAAACGACUGCUAAUACCGCAUAAGACCACGACCCGGCAUCGGGUAGAGGGAAAAGGAGCAAUCCGCUUUGAGAUGGCCUCGCGUCCGAUUAGCUAGUUGGUGAGGUAACGGCCCACCAAGGCGACGAUCGGUAGCCGGACUGAGAGGUUGAACGGCCACAUUAGGACUGAGACACGGCCCAGACUCCUACGGGAGGCAGCAGUGGGGAAUAUUGCACAAUGGGGGAAACCCUGAUGCAGCGACGCCGCGUGGAGGAAGAAGGUCUUCGGAUUGUAAACUCCUGUUGUUGAGGAAGAUAAUGACGGUACUCAACAAGGAAGUGACGGCUAACUACGUG